AUUAUCUGAGAGUCCUGUGACUGGCAGGUGACCAUGGCAGUCCCAGGCUGUCAGAACUCAGGGCUUUCCUAAGAGAGAGGGUCUGCUCCUGAUACCACAGUCUAUGUUUAUCAACGUGGACUUUUAUUGAGAACGCACGGCAAAGGCGUCUGGCUUUAUGAUGGUUUUUGAUCAUCCUGAGAAGAAUGAGCCUUGGCCUCCAGACCCAGUAAAACAGACAUCCAUGGAGAACAGUGUUCGUUCCUGAGGACCUGGAGGGCUUGCAGCCCAGGAGGAUUAGCUAGAAGCAGGUAAGGAACACCUGGAGGAGUGGGAUGUGGAAGCAGCAUGGGGUCCAUACUCUGUUUAGGAGGCACAGUGGAGUGCGCUGGUAAGAAGCCAUAGGGGCUCAAUGUAUGGCUACAGCUUUGCUGUUUUCUUUGUGUUUUUUAUUUAUUUAUUUUUCAGUCCCUAGUGUUGAUAGGUGAUUUGCCUAUUUCUAUAAACUAUAAGAUUUAAAUUUAUUCUGUAAUUCAAUCUACCUUUUUAAAGCACCUAUUCUGGCCAAACCCUGCAUUUGAUACCCAGCAGGUAGUGAUAUAGUGAUAUAGAUGGGUA
ensembl:lncRNA